AUGAACGCUGGCGGCGUGCCUAAUACAUGCCAGUCGAGCGCACAGAUGAGGAGCUUGCUCCUCUGACGUUAGCGGCGGACGGGUGAGUAACACGUGGAUAACCUACCUAUAAGACUGGGAUAACUUCGGGAAACCGGAGCUAAUACCGGAUAAUAUAUUGAACCGCAUGGUUCAAUAGUGAAAGACGGUUUUGCUGUCACUUAUAGAUGGAUCCGCGCCGCAUUAGCUAGUUGGUAAGGUAACGGCUUACCAAGGCGACGAUGCGUAGCCGACCUGAGAGGGUGAUCGGCCACACUGGAACUGAGACACGGUCCAGACUCCUACGGGAGGCAGCAGUAGGGAAUCUUCCGCAAUGGGCGAAAGCCUGACGGAGCAACGCCGCGUGAGUGAUGAAGGUCUUCGGAUCGUAAAACUCUGUUAUUAGGGAAGAACAAAUGUGUAAGUAACUAUGCACGUCUUGACGGUACCUAAUCAGAAAGCCACGGCUAACUACGUG
rnacentral:rRNA from 1 species